rnacentral:misc_RNA from 1 species
UUAAGUUCAGCGGGUAGUCCUACCUGAUCCGAGGUCAACGUUCAGAGUUGGGGGUUUCACGGCGGGGCCGCGUCGGGUUUCCGGUGCGAGCUGUAGUACUUCGCAGAGGUCGCCGCGGACGGGCCGCCACUCCAUUUCAGGGCCGGCGGGGUGCUGCCGGUCCCCAAGGCCGACGUCCCGGGGGACGUCGAGGGUUGAAA